UGGGGUGUGGCUUACUUGAUAGAGUACUUGUUUGGUAUGCAAGAGGCCCUGAGUUCAAGCCCCAGUACCAUAA
rnacentral:tRNA from 1 species